UGAGGGAAGAAGUUUAUUGACGGUACCUCACGAAUAAGGGGCUCCUAAUCUCGUGCCAGCAGGAGCGGUAAUACGAGAGCCCCGAGCGUUAUCCGGAAUUAUUGGGCGUAAAGGGUGCGUAGGUGGCAGUGUUAGUCGUUUGUCAAAUCUCUGGGCUUAACCCAGAAACCGCGAACGAAACGGCACAGCUAGAGAGUGUGAGGGGUGAAUGGAACUCAUGGUGUAGGGGUAAAAUCCGUUGAUAUCAUG
rnacentral:rRNA from 1 species